rnacentral:rRNA from 1 species
UACGUAGGGUGCGAGCGUUAAUCGGAAUUACUGGGCGUAAAGCGUGCGCAGGCGGUUUUGUAAGCCAGAUGUGAAAUCCCCGGGCUUAACCUGGGAACUGCAUUUGAAACUACGAGGCUAGAGUGUGUCAGAGGGGGGUAGAAUUCCACGUGUAGCAGUGAAAUGCGUAGAGAUGUGGAGGAAUACCGAUGGCGAAGGCAGCCCCCUGGGAUAACACUGACGCUCAUGCACGAAAGCGUGGGGAGCAAACAGG